AUUGAACGCUGGCGGAAUGCUUUACACAUGCAAGUCGAACGGCAGCACGGACUUCGGUCUGGUGGCGAGUGGCGAACGGGUGAGUAAUGUAUCGGAACGUGCCCAGUCGUGGGGGAUAACGUAGUGAAAAUUACGCUAAUACCGCAUACGAUCUAUGGACGAAAGCGGGGGAUCGCAAGACCUCGCGCGAUUGGAGCGGCCGAUAUCAGAUUAGGUAGUUGGUGGGGUAAAGGCCCACCAAGCCAACGAUCUGUAGCUGGUCUGAGAGGACGACCAGCCACACUGGAACUGAGACACGGUCCAGACUCCUACGGGAGGCAGCAGUGGGGAAUUUUGGACAAUGGGCGAAAGCCUGAUCCAGCCAUUCCGCGUGCAGGAUGAAGGCCCUCGGGUUGUAAACUGCUUUUGUACAGAACGAAAAGGUUUCUACUAGUACUAGGAGCUCAUGACGGUACUGUAAGAAUAAGCACCGGCUAACUACGUGCCAGCAGCCGCCGUAA
rnacentral:rRNA from 1 species